rnacentral:rRNA from 1 species
UACGUACGAACUAACUUAACCGAAAGGUGAGCUAAUGCCGGAUGAGUUAUAUAAGUGCAUGUUUAUAUAGGAAAAGUUGGGGAGACCUGACGCUGAAAGAUGGACUCGCGUCCCAUUAGCUAGUUGGUAGGGUAAUGGCCUACCAAGGCGACGAUGGGUAGCCGGCCUGAGAGGGUGGCCGGCCACACUGGGACUGAGACACGGCCCAGACUCCUACGGAAGGCAGCAG